GUGCUCUUAUUGGUAGAAUGUAGGUUUGAUAUGUGUAGGUUCAAAUCCUACAGAGUACA
rnacentral:tRNA from 1 species